CCUACGGGUGGCUGCAGUGGGGAAUAUUGGACAAUGGGGGCAACCCUGAUCCAGCCAUGCCGCGUGUGUGAAGAAGGCCCUCGGGUUGUAAAGCACUUUCAGUGAGGAAGAACGCCUGGUGGUUAAUACCCAUCAGGAAAGACAUCACUCACAGAAGAAGCACCGGCUAACUCCGUGCCAGCAGCCGCGGUAAUACGGAGGGUGCGAGCGUUAAUCGGAAUUACUGGGCGUAAAGCGCGCGUAGGUGGCUUGAUAAGCCGGUUGUGAAAGCCCCGGGCUCAACCUGGGAACGGCAUCCGGAACUGUCAAGCUAGAGUGCAGGAGAGGAAGGUAGAAUUCCCGGUGUAGCGGUGAAAUGCGUAGAGAUCGGGAGGAAUACCAGUGGCGAAGGCGACCUUCUGGACUGACACUGACACUGAGGUGCGAAAGCGUGGGUAGCAAACAGGAUUAGAUACCCGAGUAGUC
rnacentral:rRNA from 1 species